AGAUACACCGGCGGCAUAACAGCAACAGGCACUGCCCUACAAUAUGUUCGUAACAGUCUUAUCUUCAACGCGGCAGCCGGAGCGAGAAGUGGUGCCCGAAAAGUGGUUUUUGUUCUAACAGAUGGCAAAUCCAACCGCGGGGUCACUCCCGGGAUCCCGGCAGGACAGUUGAAAAGUGCUGGAGUGAUUAUAUUUGCUCUGGGAAUUACGUACAACAUCCGACAGAGCGAACUGUUGGCAAUUGCGACAUCACCAAACCACGUGUUUCACAUCGCAAAUUAUGCAGUUUUGAAUCAAGUCAUUCAGGCCAUUAGAGGAG